GAGACAAAGCAAUCUCAAAGUAAUAGCAGGGACAUUGGAACAGAGAGUUGAAAGAAGAGAUGGCAUCGAAAAUCACAACCCAUGAACAUGAAAAAGAACAAACAAGGACGAAUGGUAGAAUGAGAGAGAAAUAAAAGCCCACAGAAACUAAACAGAUCCAAUCCACAGCAACACCGAAGAGAACAUAAAUAAAGCAAGCCACCCAUCACAUUAAUCAAGAUGAUAAAUUAAAUAAGAAAAUUUAACUUACUCACCUAAGAUAAAGGGAAGACAACCUCUGAUGAGCUCUGCCAUAACCAGGGUCCAAUCUAACAGCCUCCUCACACUCCUUGACGGCUUCUCCCAACCUUCCCACCGCCGCCAACGCUGCUGACCUGUUACUUCGGAUCAGCAGUAGUCCCCAAUUUAGCACCGCCACCACCGCGAAUUAUGCUGCCAUGUCCAUAGUUUCCUUUGCCAGCACCAAGCGUAUCGGUCUUGUUAGAGGUACGUAAGCCCAUGGUUUUUAGGAUUUUCCCAGACGGGCAAAUGUUACCACUGGGUAAAAUAUUUGUCGUGGUUGGGAUAGAACAAACAGGAGAG